AGGGGUUUGAUCAAUGGGCUCAGAUUGAACGCUGGCAGCAGGCUUAACACAUGCAAGUCGAGCGGGGAAGGGUAGCUUGCUACCUAACCUAGCGGCGGACGGGUGAGUAAUGCUUAGGAAUCUGCCUAUUAGUGGGGGACAACAUUCCGAAAGGAAUGCUAAUACCGCAUACGCCCUACGGGGGAAAGCAGGGGAUCUUCGGACCUUGCGCUAAUAGAUGAACCUAAGUCAGAUUAGCUAGUUGGUGGGGUAAAGGCCUACCAAGGCGACGAUCUGUAGCGGGUCUGAGAGGAUGAUCCGCCACACUGGGACUGAGACACGGCCCAGACUCCUACGGGAGGCAGCAGUGGGGAAUAUUGGACAAUGGGCGAAAGCCUGAUCCAGCCAUGCCGCGUGUGUGAAGAAGGCCUUUUGGUUGUAAAGCACUUUAAGCGAGGAGGAGGCUACCGAGAUUAAUACUCUAGGAUAGUGGACGUUACUCGCAGAAUAAGCACCGGCUAACUCUGUGCCAGCAGCCGCGGUAAUACANAGGUUGGCGAGCGUUAAUCGGAUUACUGGGCGUAAAGCGUGCGUAGGCGGUUUUUUAAGU
rnacentral:rRNA from 1 species